GACGAACGCUGGCGGCGUGCUUAACACAUGCAAGUCGAACGAUGACGCCCGAGCUUGCUCGGUCUGAUUAGUGGCGAACGGGUGAGUAACACGUGAGCAACCUGCCCUUCACUCUGGGAUAACCUCGGGAAAUCGGGGCUAAUACCGGAUAUGAGCUCCUGUCGCAUGGCGGGUGUUGGAAAGUUUUUCGGUGAAGGAUGGGCUCGCGGCCUAUCAGUUUGUUGGUGAGGUAGUGGCUCACCAAGGCGAUGACGGGUAGCCGGCCUGAGAGGGCGACCGGCCACACUGGGACUGAGACACGGCCCAGACUCCUACGGGAGGCAGCAGUGGGGAAUAUUGCACAAUGGGCGAAAGCCUGAUGCAGCGACGCCGCGUGAGGGAUGACGGCCUUCGGGUUGUAAACCUCUUUCAGCAGGGAAGAAGCGAAAGUGACGGUACCUGCAGAAGAAGCGCCGGCCAACUACGUG
rnacentral:rRNA from 1 species